UUUUUUUUUUUUUUUUUCCCCCAAACAAAUGAUAAGCUGUUUAACAAGUGAUCUAGCUUGAAGGAUCUGAGGCAGAAAUUCUCCAAAAAUGUACUAUUUCAUUUCAGGGGUUGGACUACUAUAUAUCACCUUUCACUCUGUCUUGACAAAAAUGUUAACGAAAACAGUAGCAUAUAAAAUACUGAAAGAAACCUGCGCUAGGAUGAAGAUUUCAGGACUUAACUACAAUUUCUCUAGGCUUUUUCUUAUAAAUCUUUUCAAUAAUAACCAUUUAUGCAGCAGCUGGUAGGCACUGUACCAUUUUAUUAUUUAGAAUUUUUUCACUACUUUGAAGAGUUUUCCACAUUUUUGUUUAAUCAUGUAUAGAAAUGUUCCAAAUGGGAACUUAAAAAAAAAAUCCUCUAAAAUGCAAUUUCCAUAGUUUCAUAGUCACAUCCCAGAGAAACGUUAAAAUUUAUUUUAAGGCCUUCUCCAACCACCUUAAGUAGGAACCUACCUAUUACACUCUUAGUACAAAGUCUCAUCACAUUAGCAAUUUUUUCACGCAGUUUGUUCCCCUUCCCCUCUCCCUAUCCACAUCACGAAGGCAAGGUAACUGUUAGAUAUUACUAUAAGAAUUUACAUUUGUAGCCUCAUUAAAACCUGCCACAUUAAGAUAGCUAUUUAUACUCUAUUGUCAAAGUGGUAAAUGAGAUUUAAGUUACGGGAAUACAUUUCCUCAAGUCUCACAGCUAAUAAAGGCAGAGUCUGGACUUAGUCCCAAAGCCCUGUAUUAAUAUCACAGAACUGCCCUUAGAGUGCAUCUGUUGGUUAGUAAAAAUCCUCUAGUAACUGCUAAAGGGAUCACGAUAAAUGAAAAACUUCAGCACACUUAUAAAUGUGACAAAUCGUUAUUUUUAAUAUGCUAGCACACUAUUCAUUGUAAUGGGAUCCAAACACUUUACUCCCGUCAAUGUUCUCUUAUGAGCAUUCUAGCCACACAGUUAUUUAAUAAAAAAAAAAAAAGAAAGAAAAAAAAAAAGAAAAGAAAAAUGCUACUUCUAACUAAAGAAGAAAUUAGGUCAAAUCUCUGAUUUCAGGAGUCACACAGCAAAGAGGCAGGAACCUGAGGCCCAGCUCUGGUUCGACCUCCCACGCCAGUCCUGCCAGCUUUCGGGGUCGAGCCACGCAGCCCCACCCCACUACCUUCAGUUUAUCACUGACAGCCCAACAGCUCAGGUCCCACAUAGUAACGCAUCUUUACUUCUACAAAAUCACCCUAAGAUGGUUUUAAAAACAGGCUUUACCUAUCACAUAUUUUAUUUAUGACCAUGAACUACUCUAAUAAUAACACAUUAUAAUUACCAAAUAACCAAAUCUGAUUAAUCUGAACUCCGAACAUUACAUCUCAGAAAGUUUCACUCUCCCUAACUUACGUGGAGUAUAAAAACACAUACACAUGCUCAUAUAUGUAUAUGAGUAUCUAUACAAGAAACACCUGUUCACAUAUUCCAUAAACACUUAAGGCAUGUUUUAAAGGUUCUGAAGGACUGAAAAGUACAAAACUAUAACUAAGUAGCACAAGUUGCUUAAACCCAUAGACUUCCAAAACAUUUCUAGCUUCGGAAAUAGCUUAGAUGGGGAAAAAACUGCUUUUUAUGAAGACUAGGAUACUCAGUCACCACCAACUCCUCUGUCCAAGAAUCAAGGGAGAAGGGAUUAUUUCUGAUUCUUAUCAGCUUCUCCCAGCAUCAAGUUGGGGUCAGGCGCAUCACAAGGUUAAAAAUGAAUCCUUUCCCUCCCCCCUAGUAACGUCCUCCCCACACAGGUAAAUUAUCAUCACCCAGGUACGUAACCUGCAAGCACAUGCCUAGGAUCCUGCAGUCAUCUUUAUGGUUAUAGCUCACUUCAGCAGAACAUGGCUCUAGCUCUUUGAAAGCAGUCUGGGUUUUUCCUGUGGGUAUUUAUGUCCAUUGUCAUUGGGGAAAGCUAUGUUUUCCAGCAGGAAACAGGAAUGAUGAGGGCAAAACCAAUUAAUCAAGAGAGACUGCUCAGUGUGGGAUCCGAAGGAACAACGGCUGUAGGUGGGACACAGGUGAACAUGAGCAAGUUAUAUUUCAAAAGCCAAAUUAUCUGACCAGUGCUUCUGUAACUUUCUGAUCUCAGGAUGAUUCUUUAAAAAUAUUAAAGACCCAAAUAACUCGUUUAUGUGGACUACAACUGUUGUCAUCUAUCUUACUGGAAAUUAAAAUUGAGAAAAUUUAAAUCUAUUCAUUAAUUGAUUUUAAAACAACAAACCCAUCGCAUGUUAACAUAAACAUGUUUUAUGGGAAAAAAAAAUCACUACGGUUUCCAAACAAAAGUGAGGAAAAAAUGGCAUUAUUUUAUAUUUCUGCAAAUUGCUCUAAUGUCUGGCAUAAUAGAAAAUAUCGAGAUUAUCGUAUCAGCUUCUCCAUUUGAUCUGUUGCCUAAUCAUACAUCACAUAACCUCUGGAAUACUUCCAUCUACACUCAUGACAGGAUUAAAGUGGGAAAAGAAAAUACUGUCUACACUUGUAAUAAAAAUUGUCUUGGUCUCCCGGACUUAAAGGGGAUUCUGAGGACACUGAACCACACAUUGGGGGGGGGGGGGGGGGUGCUGGUCUAGAUUCUACAACCGUUUUCAUUUUACUUUCAUCUCCACCCUUUCAUUAAGUCUUCUGGAACAUUUCUGUCUCAUAUCGGUUUUGCUACAGAGAACGAAGAAGAGCCCUCUAUACCCACUUGUGCCAGAAAGUUAAUAGGAGAACAGCAACCCUCACCUAUCAAAGUGGUGGUAGCCUCAGGAUCCUAAAAAGGUCUACACCUCUCCAAGGGUAAAGUAAAUCUCAAAUAAAAAGCCAGGGCCUUUUGGUAGAAUUUCUUCUUCUCACCAAAAGUCAUGUGCAUAAAAUGCAAAAGAAGGUAGGGGAGGAUGAUGAAUACAUGGCUGUGUGCCACAUGCAGAAAGUCAGAGACAUCAACCGGUGCAGUCAGAUUGAAAAAGCCACUUUCUUUUCCCAUGAUGGUUAAAAAAUGAUGGGGUAUGAAAGAAAACAGAAAGUCAAAGCACAAAAGAGGAAAAACAGAACAGUAACAAUUACAAAUAGUCGCCAUUAGAAUCCACAACCAGAACAGCAGAUGCAGGGAGGAAACCACAGCAGCCACAGUUCCCCUGGCUUUAGGGAGAACAUGGGGGGAAAAGGGACACCUGGUUGGGCCACAAUUCUCCAAAAGCUCUUCCAGGCUUCAUGGCACCACUCUAACCACUAACUAAUCUCUAUAUGUCAUAAGGCGAACAAACAAAAAGCCACAGUGAAGUAUAGAAAAGUUGGAGCACUCUAGAAAUGUAGACUCAACACCACAAAGUAGUACAUAAAAACUGUCCCCUACAGAAAAAGAAAACAGAGGCAGGGGGGAAAAAGAUAUUCACAGAAAAAAAAAAAUCAGAAAAUGUGUAUUUCUGUGUAACAGAACAAAGAUAGAAACAGAGUGCAAUACAUCUAUGGCUAUGCCAUAGUCCUCAAUCUAACCUCCUUGAUACAAAGGCGCAUCUGUAUUUCACAGUGGAAAUUUGGAGUCCACCUAAAUCCAUCCAUUCAAUAAAUAUUUAUUGAGCCAGAUGCACUAGAGUGGUGAACAAAACAAAAUCCCUGCCUUCACAGAGCUUAUAUUCUAGUGGGAAAAUAAAGACAAAUGUAAGUAUGUUAAACGUAUAAACAUAUAUAGUA
rnacentral:lncRNA from 1 species